rnacentral:rRNA from 1 species
CUACUCUUGACAUCCUGCGAACUUGGUAGAGAUACCUUGGUGCCUUCGGGAACGCAGAGACAGGUGCUGCAUGGCUGUCGUCAGCUCGUGUUGUGAAAUGUUGGGUUAAGUCCCGUAACGAGCGCAACCCCUAUCCCUAGUUGCUAGCAGUUCGGCUGAGAACUCUAGGGAGACUGCCGGUGACAAACCGGAGGAAGGUGGGGAUGACGUCAGGUCAUCAUGGCCCUUACGGCCAGGGCUACACACGUGCUACAAUGGUGCGUACAGAGGGCUGCAAACCCGCGAGGGGGAGCUAAUCUCACAAAACGCAUCGUAGUCCGGAUCGGAGUCUGCAACUCGACUCCGUGAAGUCGGAAUCGCUAGUAAUCGCGAAUCAGAAUGUCGCGGUGAAUACGUUCCC